UACGUAGGGUGCGAGCGUUAAUCGGAAUUACUGGGCGUAAAGCGUGCGCAGGCGGUUCGUUGUGUCGGUGGUGAAAGCCCCGGGCUCAACCUGGGAAUGGCCAUGGAAACUGGCGAACUGGAGUGUGGCAGAGGGGGGUGGAAUUCCGCGUGUAGCAGUGAAAUGCGUAGAGAUGCGGAGGAACACCGAUGGCGAAGGCAGCCCCCUGGGCUGACACUGACGCUCAGGCACGAAAGCGUGGGGAGCAAACAGG
rnacentral:rRNA from 1 species